GAAACUUCGUUCCCUCCUGAGUGGAUCCUGAGUACGGCCGGACACGAGAAAUCCGGUCGGAAGCAGGGAGGACCAUCUCCCAAGGCUAAAUACUCCCUAGUGACCGAUAGUGAACCAGUACCGUGAGGGAAAGGUGAAAAGCACCCCGGAAGGGGAGUGAAAUAGUUCCUGAAACCGUGUGCCUACAAGUAGUUAGAGCCCGUUAAUGGGUAAUAGCGUGCCUUUUGUAGAAUGAACCGGCGAGUUACGAUCCCAUGCAAGGUUAAGUUGAAAAGACGGAGCCGCAGCGAAAGCGAGUCUGAAUAGGGCGUAUGAGUAUGUGGUCGUAGACCCGAAACCAGGUGAUCUACCCAUGUCCAGGGUGAAGUCCAGGUAACACUGGAUGGAGGCCCGAACCCACGCACGUUGAAAAGUGCGGGGAUGAGGUGUGGGUAGCGGAGAAAUUCCAAUCGAACUUGGAGAUAGCUGGUUCUCUCCGAAAUAGCUUUAGGGCUAGCCUCACGUAGUAAGAGUCUUGGAGGUAGAGCACUGUUUGGACUAGGGGCCCUCAUCGGGUUACCGAAUUCAGACAAACUCCGAAUGCCAAAGACUUAUCCGUGGGAGUCAGACUGCGAGUGAUAAGAUCCGUAGUCAAAAGGGAAACAGCCCAGACCACCAGCUAAGGUCCCAAAGUAUACGUUAAGUGGAAAAGGAUGUGGAGUUGUUUAGACAACCAGGAUGUUGGCUUAGAAGCAGCCACCAUUUAAAGAGUGCGUAAUAGCUCACUGGUCGAAUGACUCUGCGCCGAAAAUGUACCGGGGCUAAACGUAUCACCGAAGCUGUGGAUUGACAUCUUAGAUGUCAGUGGUAGGAGAGCGUUCUAAGGGCGUUGAAGCUAGACCGUAAGGACUGGUGGAGCGCUUAGAAGUGAGAAUGCCGGUAUGAGUAGCGAAAGAUGAGUGAGAAUCUCAUCCACCGAAUGCCUAAGGUUUCCUGAGGAAGGCUCGUCCGCUCAGGGUUAGUCGGGACCUAAGCCGAGGCCGAAAGGCGUAGGCGAUGGACAACAGGUUGAUAUUCCUGUACCACCUCUUUAUCGUUUGAGCAAUGGGGGGACGCAGGAGGAUAGGGUAAGCGCGCUGUUGGAUAUGCGCGUCUAAGCAGUUAGGCUGAGAAGUAGGCAAAUCCGCUUCUCACUAAGGCUGAGCUGUGAUAGCGAGGGAAAUUUAGUACCGAAGUUCCUGAUUCCACACUGCCAAGAAAAGCCUCUAGCGAGAUAAAUGGUGCCCGUACCGCAAACCGACACAGGUAGGCGAGGAGAGAAUCCUAAGGUGAGCGAGAGAACUCUCGUUAAGGAACUCGGCAAAAUGACCCCGUAACUUCGGGAGAAGGGGUGCUUUUUGAGGUGAAUAGCCUCGAAGAGCCGCAGUGAAUAGGCCCAGGCGACUGUUUAGCAAAAACACAGGUCUCUGCGAAGCCGCAAGGCGAAGUAUAGGGGCUGACGCCUGCCCGGUGCUGGAAGGUUAAGAGGAGGGGUUAGCGCAAGCGAAGCUCUGAAUCGAAGCCCCAGUAAACGGCGGCCGUAACUAUAACGGUCCUAAGGUAGCGAAAUUCCUUGUCGGGUAAGUUCCGACCCGCACGAAAGGCGUAACGAUCUGGGCACUGUCUCAACGAGAGACUCGGUGAAAUUAUAGUACCUGUGAAGAUGCAGGUUACCCGCGACAGGACGGAAAGACCCCGUGGAGCUUUACUGUAGCCUGAUAUUGAAUUUUGGUACAGCUUGUACAGGAUAGGUAGGAGCCUGAGAAGCCGGAGCGCUAGCUUCGGUGGAGGCGUCGGUGGGAUACUACCCUGGCUGUAUUGAAAUUCUAACCCGCACCCCUGAUCGGGGUGGGAGACAGUGUCAGGUGGGCAGUUUGACUGGGGCGGUCGCCUCCUAAAGAGUAACGGAGGCGCCCAAAGGUUCCCUCAGAAUGGUUGGAAAUCAUUCGCAGAGUGUAAAGGCACAAGGGAGCUUGACUGCGAGACCUACAAGUCGAGCAGGGACGAAAGUCGGGCUUAGUGAUCCGGUGGUUCCGCAUGGAAGGGCCAUCGCUCAACGGAUAAAAGCUACCCCGGGGAUAACAGGCUUAUCUCCCCCAAGAGUCCACAUCGACGGGGAGGUUUGGCACCUCGAUGUCGGCUCAUCGCAUCCUGGGGCUGUAGUCGGUCCCAAGGGUUGGGCUGUUCGCCCAUUAAAGCGGUACGCGAGCUGGGUUCAGAACGUCGUGAGACAGUUCGGUCCCUAUCCGUCGUGGGCGCAGGAAAUUUGAGAGGAGCUGUCCUUAGUACGAGAGGACCGGGAUGGACGCACCGCUGGUGUACCAGUUGUUCUGCCAAGGGCAUCGCUGGGUAGCUAUGUGCGGACGGGAUAAGUGCUGAAAGCAUCUAAGCAUGAAGCCCCCCUCAAGAUGAGAUUUCCCAUAGCGCAAGCUAGUAAGAACCCUGAAAGAUGAUCAGGUUGAUAGGUCAGAGGUGGAAGC
rnacentral:rRNA from 1 species